GAAUUGGUUUCAUUAGAAACCACCACAUAAUGGCAAUGAUUGUGAUU
rfam:Glycine soja cultivar W05 scaffold5007_4, whole genome shotgun sequence.